CUCCUACGGGAGGCAGCAGUGGGGAAUAUUGCACAAUGGGGGGAACCCUGAUGCAGCGACGCCGCGUGAGUGAAGAAGUAUUUCGGUAUGUAAAGCUCUAUCAGCAGGGAAGAAAGGUGCCCCUUGGGCGCCUGGACGGUACCUGACUAAGAAGCCCCGGCUAACUACGUGCCAGCAGCCGCGGUAAUACGUAGGUGGCGAGCGUUAUCCGGAAUGAUUGGGCGUAAAGGGUGCGCAGGCGGUCCUGCAAGUCUGGAGUGAAACGCAUGAGCUCAACUCAUGCAUGGCUUUGGAAACUGGAGGAC
rnacentral:rRNA from 1 species